UACGGAGGGGGCUAGCGUUGUUCGGAAUUACUGGGCGUAAAGCGCACGUAGGCGGCUUUGUAAGUUAGAGGUGAAAGCCCAGGGCUCAACCCUGGAAUUGCCUUUAAGACUGCAUCGCUUGAACAUCGGAGAGGUAAGUGGAAUUCCGAGUGUAGAGGUGAGAUUCGUAGAUAUUCGGAAGAACACCAGUGGCGAAGGCGACUUACUGGACGAUUGUUGACGCUGAGGUGCGAAAGCGUGGGGAGCAAACAGG
rnacentral:rRNA from 1 species